GACUUUUCCGUUCAGGUGCAGCAGGUUUGUAGGAAGAUUGAGGCAUUUUUCUCUGUUUCCAGCUUCUGGAAUCUUCCAAAAGUGACCGUUUCCAUUUUCCCUGUCAUUUUCCUCAUCAUCUCAUGCAGACUGCUUGGCCAGAAGUGGUGACGAAGGACAAAUUUAAGGUGACAUGCUGCAGAUCCACCUGGCAAACCACACAGUCUGGGCCUGACAUGAAGCUGACUCAACAGUGUCCCAACAGCUGAUGUAAUGCUGGCCUGCUGCAGAAUGUGUUUGCA